CUCGACCCUAAUGGCGGAAUCACAGUAGCUAAUCAAAUAAAAAGAAAACUCUCCUGCAGUCACGCAUCACCGACGAAGAUGGCUUAAAUUGAUAGGAAAGUUCAAGUUUUAUGCUCCGUUUCAACUAUCCUAGACAAUCCUAAAAACAUCUAACGGGAACGGAAAGGAGACACAGAGCAUAUUUCACUUUGAUGUAAACAGAAGGUACUCACCAUCUAAUAUCAAAAGGUUCGAUCUCUCUCGGCAGCAAUCACGCAAAACCUUCUGUUGAAUGGAUCCGAUUUCGACGUCUCUCCGGCUGACGGGAAUACGACGACGGCAGUAGCAACAGUGCGGUAAUCGGCAAAAUUAUGAUUACGAAAAAUUGCCGAAAAUUUGUUGAACCCAUAGCGAUAGCUGAUUGCAAUCGGCACGCAGUGAACCCUGAAUUGUAGACGGCGACGGAUGGACGGAUCCCGUACUGUGCCAUGCACCGGUAGAGAAGCUGAAAUUCUAUCCGCCGUUUGUUGCUGCCAUUGCUGCUCUUCGGGAACCUCGCAGAGGAAGCAAGAAUCUCUACAGCUGAUGACAUCAACGGAACUGGAACGGGGUGCAUGUCGGAGUGUUUGUGUGGGAAUAUAUGGGUUUGGUUGUUGCGAUGUGGUUUUGCAUUAUGACAAGCCCUCAGCAGGAAGCUAUAGCUAUUUUUCCCUUUCGUAUUCUGUUUCGGUCGUUUCGAAUCAUCUACUGCUACUGUGAGUCGCGCGGGAUGUUGAUGCUGUUGCUCUGUGGUCUCCCGAUGGUUCUGAAAUGUGCCUUUGUAAUCCGGUGGUUUAAUUGAUUAUCAAUAAAGAUUAUGAGCGAUUUGCGGCCUGAGCAGAGCUCUUUAAUUCAAUGUAUUGCAAGGUAGAACCACAGACGUAGAUCUAUCGGCGGUAGAUGAGUUGAGCCUUGAAAUAGACUUAUCUCAAGAUUCCAUAGUGAUUGGGCAGUGUAUUGCUGGAACGUAGGGAGUGUCUAAACAUAAAAUAGCUAUAUGGAUGGUCUGAUUUUGUCAGCACGUUUUUCAGUUCCCAUUUGAAAUCUAAACAAAUUAUCAGAAUUCUUUCUUUCCUUUGUAAUGCACAUUCAUACUAACUUUAAUUGUGUUAAAAAAAUGUUAAAAUUUGGAUAUGGAACGGUGAGAGAAAAAUUGGAUCAAUGCUGGAUUUAAAUUUAGAAAUUCGAUAAAUUUCCUAGAGAUUUUGAAAACCCGA
rnacentral:lncRNA from 1 species